rnacentral:tRNA from 5 species
CGGGGUGUAGCGCAGCCCGGUAGCGCACUUGACUGGGGGUCAAGGGGUCGUCGGUUCAAAUCCGGCCACCCCGACCA